rnacentral:rRNA from 1 species
AUACGGAGGAUCCGAGCGUUAUCCGGAUUUAUUGGGUUUAAAGGGUGCGCAGGCGGGAGAUUAAGUCGGCGGUGAAAUUUUGCAGCUCAACUGUAAAAGUGCCUUCGAAAAUGGUUUUCUUUAGUGUAGAUGAAGUAGGCGGAAUUUGUGGUGUAGCGGGGGAAUGCAUAGAUAUCACGAGGAACUCCGAUUGCGCAGGCAGCUUACUAAACUACUACUGACGCUCAGGCACGAAGGCGUGGGGAUCAAACAGGAUUAGAUACCCUGGUAGUCCACGCAGUAAACGAUGAUUACUAGCUGUUUGCGAUACAAUGUAAGCGGCUGAGCGAAAGCGUUAAGUAAUCCACCUGGGGAGUACGUUCGCAAGAAUGAAACUCAAAUGAAUUGACGGGG